CCCUUAGAUGUCCGGGGCUGCACGCGCGCUACACUGAAGGAAUCAGCGUGCUAAAACCAUUGUCGAAAGGCAUUGGUAAACCCAUUAAAAUCCUACGUGAUUGGGAUCGGGAAUUGCAAUUAUUUCCCUUGAACGAGGAAUUCCCAGUAAGUGUGGGUCAUAAGCUCGCGUUGAUUACGUCCCUGCCCUUUGUACACACCGCCCGUCGCUGCCCGGGACUGAGCCGUUUCGAGAAAAGCGGGGACUGCUGCUGUCGGGGCUUUCGGGCCUUGGCUUCGGUGGAAACCGCUUUAAUCGCAGUGGCUUGCACCGGGCAAAAGUCGUAACA
rnacentral:rRNA from 1 species